GGUGGUGGUGGAGGUGGUGGAGAUGGUGGAGGUGGGGCCGGAGCGGUGGCGGUGGUGGAGGUGGGGCAGGAGUGGUGGCGGUGGUGGAGGUGGGGCAGGAGCGGUGGUGGAGGUUGAGGGUGGUGGAGAAGGGGACGGAGCAGUUGUGGAUGUGGAGGGUGGUGGAGUAGGGGUCGGAGCCGUGGUGGAGAUGGAGGGGGUGGAGGUGGUUGGUGGUUGUAGUGGUGGAGGGGUUGGAGGGGGAGGAGUUGGUAGAGGUGGAGGAGGUGAGGCCGCACACACACAGACGCACACAGAUGAGUCCCACUCUACUGGAGCUCAGUGGUUGGCUCUGCUUUGGUUACAUCCAGCGCCAAGACUGCAGUGCGGGCAGCAGCUCUCCAAUCAGUCUGAGAGGAUGCCUCACACUGCAACCUUUUCUACAUCUCUCCGCUCCGCUGGGGGAUCUGAGCUCAGGAUUACAGAGUCUGCAUGUCUCUGAUGGGCGCUCAGGGGAAAGAGAGCCAAAGGUUUCACCCCCAUUAAUCACUGAAGUCCUCUAAUGGCCACGGAAUCCCAUGCAUAUCAUCCCCCCCCACUCCACAGGGGCCGGGGGUAAGGGGGGUCAGAGCCACGGAACUCAGUGAGGAGGAUGGAUUCAUGGAGUCAUUGUAUGGUGGACCAUAGGGGGAGCAGGAUGAAUGAAUGAAUGAAUGAACAAUGAAUGAAGAGGUAUUACGGAGGGCAUGGCAAGGAAACCAUUUUGGAAACUGAGAUGAAAGAAGGAUACAGAGAGAGAGAGAGAGAGAGAGAGAGAGAGAGAGAGAGAGAGAGAGAGAGAGAGAGAGAGAGAGAGAAGGGGGGGGAGAGAUAAUUAUCAUGAGCUGAUCCUUUAAUCUUUGCACAGGGCUUUCCUGUACGAACAUAAACCCUUCAGACAAGAUCCUGAAUUCUGAAUAAUUCUGAAUAAUACAAUUUAAUAAUGAAUUACUUUCAUUGUCUCUUCCUCUUAACAUUACUGGCUAUUUCAGCAAUUAUAACGAUAGCCCAUGACUCAUUUCCAGACAGAGGGACAGAACCACACACACACACACACACACACACACACACACACACACACACACACACACACACACACACACACACACACACACACACACACACACACACACACACACACACACACACACACACACACUAGGGCUGUCAACGAAUAUUCGAAGUUCGAAUAUUCGUUCGAAAUGUAUCCAAAAACGCGAAUUCGAACGUGAAAAUUAAUAUUCGAAUGUGAAAAAACACUCCCGCGGUACAAGCGCCUCUAUCUGCUUUGUGAAUGAGCCUCUGUCUGUUCGCGAUGUCCCUCAUAAUAUUCGAAUGUGAAAAACACUCCCCUGGUACAAGUGUAACAGACUAGUAUUGUGAAGAGCGAAUGUAUUUUAUCCCCUCUGGGUUUCCGUACUUGGAUAUAGGUAUUCCAGCUCGGCUAUGCCAUUCAAUAAGCAUCCG
ensembl:lncRNA